UAGGCGUGGCGGGCCGAUCUUUUAAGAACGCACGCGACGAUCAACUCAGCAAAGGACUUAACACAACUUGUGUGGCUAACAUGAGGACAUAAACUUAUCACAACAAGAUAAGAGGUGUUGGACCAAAAGAACAUAAAAUGGAUAAUUUAUAUACAUUGUAAAAGAAAGAAAAAAGAUAGCCGCGAAAAAUGUGUUUCGAAUUAGCGUCGAGAAGAAAAAUUAAGAUGGAAAAAUUUACCUCGGAAGAGAUAGAGCUCCGACAUCUGACAUCUGGUUAAAAGAAAAAAUAGUUUGCGCAAAAAGUAAAUAUAAAUACAAAGCAAAAGUGUUAGACGUCAAAUAUUUAGCAUCAGUAGCGAGCAAAUAAAGGGGUUAUGUAUAUAAUAAAGUAAAGCAUCCACUUAAAUUAGAGGAUGUAAGAAUUGAGUAAAACUUUUUAUCUCGUGCACAUCUGUAACAUAUAAAUGACUAUAAGAUACUGGAGAUAAUCAAGGAAUAUAUUGUGAGUAUAUGUAUACAAACGUUUUAAAACCCGUAUGGAUUCUAAUGCAUCCCUCUAACACUCAGACAUCUUUCGCGCUUUCACUGGAGAUAGGUUUAAACAAGGGUCUGACAAGCUCGUUGCCGUUGUUAUUUAUCGGCGUCGCUUCUUACAUCUUUCAUACAGCGACGAGAGAGAAACUCAAGAUGAUGCUGACUGUAUUCUCUAUAUAUACAUAUGUAUAAAUCUGUGUACAUACUCUACAUUGGAUGUUACACACUCAACAGUGGCGAGAAGAAAGAUAAGAAGACGCCAAUGAUAAUGAUGAUGAACGCUUAUAACGCGCGCACGUGUUAAAAACUAUACUUUUUUUUAAUGCUGUCUGCCAUUACUUAAAGUGUAAUCCAAGUAUGUACAUCUUAUAAGGAUUCGAGUACUUCAUUUGCUUAGCCUUUUUUUAUUCAAUCUAUUAUAAUAAUCUUACACACACAGAUGCGAAAAUUCAUUUCUUCU